GGCAGAAAUGCCAGAUGAAUACACUUGUCUCUAGGAUGCAGGCAGCGCCUAGGCCUAGCUCAGAAGGUGCUUUCUGCCCCUUAGAAAUUUGCUUUCAAGCCCAUUAGGAGGGAGGGGGGGAGCCCUGAGUGCAUCCAUGUGGGCCUGCGUUCAGUUUAGGGAGCGCUAGCAUUCCUCCUAAGGUGAACGCUGCAGAGCGGAAAGGGAAACAGAGCUGGCAUUUUGAACGCGGAGGAAGCUCUUCGUACAGAAAGCAAAAAAGAAAAUCCAAAACAGCCUUGACCAAAGAUUACCAGCAGUUAAUCUGGUACCGCGACCAGCUGCAAGGCUUCCGAAAAAAAAAAAAAAAAGAUUUGAGUUCUGAAAAGCUUCGUGCGUGCGUUCAUUAAUAAAUGCUGUUUGCAUAAAUCCAGUGAGGGCCCAAUGGGGCACCUCUCCCUUUGGAAGUUGAAGGCCCAGAUCCUGUGAAUGCAUGUGCGGCCUCGCUCAACUCAUGGGACUUCUCGCAUGUGCAUCAGUGUUUGCAGGACUAGGCCUGAUUUUGCAAACUCAACCAUAAUUUGGGUUUUUGAAUGGAAUGGCAUGCGCACCCCGGCACCUGACAUGCCAAAAAUCGAUGGUUAUGUGACGUAAGAAAAUGCCUGCUUGUAGAAGUCUGGAAUUAAGAAGUUGAGUUGAACAGAAAUAUAAUAGGUUUUUAUAUGAAAUGGGACGAAAAAAAAGAACAUUGCCUGUGUUUAAUAAUGUUUUUAGCAUUUAACUGGUGUACAUUAAAUUUUGCUAUUCUUGUCUUAUU